rnacentral:rRNA from 1 species
CUACGGAGGGUGCAAGCGUUAUCCGGAAUCAUUGGGUUUAAAGGGUCCGUAGGCGGACUAUUAAGUCAGAGGUGAAAUCCCACAGCUCAACUGUGGAACUGCCUUUGAUACUGGUAGUCUUGAGUUAUAUGGAAGUAGAUAGAAUGUGUAGUGUAGCGGUGAAAUGCAUAGAUAUUACACAGAAUACCGAUUGCGAAGGCAGUCUACUACGUAUAUACUGACGCUAAGGGACGAAAGCGUGGGGAGCGAACAGGAUUAGAAACCCGAGUAGUCC